rnacentral:lncRNA from 10 species
CUUUGGUCCAGCAAAGAAAGGACCUCAGUGCCCUCAGGCCCUAAGAGUAAAGUUAAAGAAAGCCUGGGCCAGAGAGAAAGAGUUAUCCCUCCAAAUGCUUCCGUCUUGCUUAGUUAAUCUAAUCUGCUUUAUGUAGCACAAAAUAAACACAACCCCUAAUUAGCAGGUUCAUGCUGCAGCUGAAUUCUCAAACGCGCUUCACAGAUUCCAGCCUCAGCAUUCCCAGAGAAGGCCCAGGAUCUCCCUGAGAGGCCCAGUUGGUGUUUGUGGAAUCAUCACUCCUCUGGUGAUCACGCAGUUUGCCUCACUUUCUCCAUGGAGCUCUUUGCUAAAGGACAUUCUCCUCCAGCUGUGAAGGAAAAGCCCAACAAAAGGCAGGGUACUUUGUUCUAACUGAGGAUGUCUACUGACACAGCCAAGCUGUAAAGCAGACCACGGACGGCAGUGCAGCGGGGAGAACAACUCUACAUCUGGUUGGAGGUGGAGUAAUGUCCAGUCUGGGCACAGAGAGAUGGCAGGUGUGCAGCUGCACUCAGCAUGGGAUAGAGGUACCUGAUCUAACCACAGAGAAGGGGUGGGUCAGGAGAGCUUCCUGGGCUGAAUGUUAAAUAACAGAAUUGAAGUCAAUUGAGCCAAGGCAAGGGUAGGCUGUUUCCCCUUUACUUCCUGUGAAUCUCAACAUUUAGCAUGGGUCUGGAACAUCACAGAUGCAUAACAAAAUGUGUUGAAUGAAUGGAUGGCUGAAUGACUGAAUGAAUGAAGCUUUGAUGAAAUUCCCCUAGGAGUCUGUUAUCCAGGAAAGUUGAACAUCCAUUAAUCUUUCCAAGCCCAAAUGAAGAAAUUGAAGCCCAGAAGGAAGAAGUCAAUAGCCCACUCUAUUCACCCUACUUCUCUG